rnacentral:rRNA from 1 species
GAUGAACGCUGGCGGCGUGCCUAACACAUGCAAGUCGAGCGGCAGCGAGGGGUGCUUGCACCCUGUCGGCGAGCGGCGGACGGCUGAGUAACGCGUGGGAACGUGCCCCAAAGUGAGGAAUAACAGCCCGAAAGGGUAGCUAAUACCGCAUAUUAUCUUCGGAUCAAAGGAUUUAUCCGCUUUGGGAGCGGCUCGCGUCGGAUUAGGUAGUUGGUGAGGUAAUGGCUCACCAAGCCGACGAUCCGUAGCUGGUCUGAGAGGAUGACCAGCCAGACUGGAACUGAGACACGGUCCAGACUCCUACGGGAGGCAGCAGUGAGGAAUCUUCCACAAUGGGCGAAAGCCUGAUGGAGCAACGCCGCGUGCAGGACGAAGGCCUUCGGGUUGUAAACUGCUUUUAUAAGUGAGGAAUAUGACGGUAACUUAUGAAUAAGGAUCGGCUAACUACGUG